GUGAAUUAAGCGGUCUGUGUUGAGCGACAUGAAUUCCUUUACUGCGUGGCGUUCCAAAGGCGAUUCUCACCCGGGUGUCGCCUGUGCUGUGGCUCUCCUCUAUGCCCAAGAAACAGGUCUGCAUCCAGGCUUGGUGGGAAUUUCCACUACAGAAAGAGAAUCAAAUACCCCAGCCACUAUGCCAUGAAAUGCAACCUCUGGCUUCGCAACCUCUGUGAGUUGCUGAAUUCUUCCUUCCAAGUUGCUCGCCAACUACCAGACUCUCUGCGCAAGAUCAGCCAUCGCCAUUGUCCUCGUCUCUGAAAAUUGUUCUGUCAAUGAAAUGAUCUACCAUGAAGGACAUCUGUGGAAACACAGUCUGUGACGAGAGCCCAUGAAUAAUUUCCACGUGCUCCUGCCAGUCUUUUAAGCUGCGCGUCCUUGAGUCACAGAGACAUGGCUGGGCAGCUGAAAGUGUCACCGAGUAUUCCGUGGACACCACAGUUCACUCAAGUGUUAACUGCUCACAAGGAUACACAGCCAGCCUCCCCCAAACAUGAGGCGAUCCAACUGUGUUCUUCCCAUGAGAAGCCAAAGGCAUCUCUCCCCAAGCACAAAGUAGUAAAGAGCCCUGGAUGCCUGGUUCCUAUUCCUGGGAGCGUAUGCAAUUACUCUGUCACCCUGGUGGCCAACACUAACUGUCCUAUCAGCAUGACUCCUGAUUAUCAGCUCCCCAUCUGCAUGAAAGUAAAAGCCAGCUCAUCCUAUUCACCGGCUCCGAAUCCUCCACUGGCUUCCCCUUUCACUAGAAUAAAACCCUAAAUCUUUACAAUGACCUGACAACAUAAUUCUCCCCCGUUCCCUCCGCCGAAACUGCUGUUAUUUUGCCGGCUUUGUGCAUUACUCAUCCUCUCUAGACCAGUUUGCUAGGGCUGCCGUAACAAAAUACUCCAGAAUGGGUGAUGGAAACAACAGAAACUUAUUUUCCCACAGUCAUGGACGCUCACGGUGUCACCGGAUUUAGUUUCUUCCGAAAUGUCUCUCCUUAGCUUGAACAUGGCCAUCUUUUCACUGUGUCCUCACAUGGUCUUUCCUCUGGUGUCUCUCUGUGUCCAAAUAUCCUCUUUUAAUAAGGACACCAGUCAGACAGGAUUAGGGCUCACACCUUCAUUUUAACAUAGUCAUCUCUUUAAAAGGAUCUAUCUUCAAACACAGUCAUAUUCUCACAUACCAGGGGUUAAGACUCCAGCACAUGAAAUCGGAGGGGACAGGAUUCAGCCCAUGGCACCCUCGAUCAUUCUGCUGCAGCCAACCUGACUUUCCGAAAGUUAUUCAAACAUACCCCUUGCCUUUACGCCAUCUAUUCCUUACCUCUCACACACUGCAAAUCCAAUAAAGUCUGCCCCACUCUUUAAGGAUGCGCCUGC
rnacentral:lncRNA from 1 species